rnacentral:tRNA from 1 species
GGGGUUGUGGCUCAGUGGUAGAGCGCUUGCCUCAUGUGUGUGAGGCACUGGGUUCGAUCCUCAGCACCA